GCAGUCGAACGGUAGCACAGAGAGCUUGCUCUCGGGUGACGAGUGGCGGACGUUUGAGUAAUGUCUGGGAAACUGCCCGAUGGAGGGGGAUAACUACUGGAAACGGUAGCUAAUACCGCAUAACGUCGCAAGACCAAAGAGGGGGACCUUCGGGCCUCUUGCCAUCGGAUGUGCCCAGAUGGGAUUAGCUUGUAGGUGAGGUAACGGCUCACCUAGGCGACGAUCCCUAGCUGGUCUGAGAGGAUGACCAGCCACACUGGAACUGAGACACGGUCCAGACUCCUACGGGAGGCAGCAGUGGGGAAUAUUGCACAAUGGGGGAAACCCUGAUGCAGCGACGCCGCGUGAACGAAGAAGGUAUUCGUAUCGUAAAGUUCUGUCCUAUGGGAAGAUAAUGACAGUACCAUAGAAGAAAGCUCCGGCUAAAUACGUGCCAGCAGCCGCGGUAAUACGUAUGGAGCGAGCGUUGUCCGGAAUUAUUGGGCGUAAAGGGUACGCAGGCGGUUUAAUAAGUCGAAUGUUAAAGAUCGGGGCUCAACCCCGUAAAGCAUUGGAAACUGAUAAACUUGAGUAGUGGAGAGGAAAGUGGAAUUCCUAGUGUAGUGGUGAAAUACGUAGAUAUUAGGAGGAAUACCAGUAGCGAAGGCGACUUUCUGGACACAAACUGACGCUGAGGUACGAAAGCGUGGGGAGCAAACAG
rnacentral:rRNA from 1 species